rnacentral:rRNA from 1 species
UCCCUACGGGGCGCACCAGGCGCGAAAACUUUGCAAUGCGGGAAACCGUGACAAGGGAACUCUGAGUGCCCGUAAAAUCGGGCUGUCCAUCGGUUUAAAUAACCGGUGAAGAAAGGGCCGGGCAAGACCGGUGCCAGCCGCCGCGGUAAUACA